rnacentral:lncRNA from 1 species
UAUACAUUAUUCUGUAUUAUUCCUUCUGCAAUUUGAAUUUUUCUUUUUUUCUUUUUCUGUAAUUUCGUUUCGUCGAGUCGAUCGAUUAAGAAGUUGAUUGAUCGAGACGAUGGUUAUGAAUUAAGCUCAUUCAAGCGAGAAAGUUAAAAUCGUAACAGAAAUUCUCUCGGGUAUAAAUAAAUUCCUCCGAGUCUAAUCCCGCCAAGAAUAAUUCUGCCAAGAGGUAACCGCGUAAAACGGUGGUUCCGUGUCAAAAGGGUAAAGCUGGCAGAAAAUAACACCGUUAGUUCUGGCGCUGCGUCAAAAAUCCAAGUGAAGAGGGUAAGGAGAAGAAGAAUAUAACCGUGAAUCCAUAACGUGAAUCGAUGCAAAGUUCAUGGCAACAAGUAUUUCCACCAAUAUCCUCGAAUAUCUUUCUUUCCCCAUUCUUCACCAAAAUUUCUCUUCCAAAAAUUAUACUAAAAAUUGUACGAUCACACCCGAAUUAAAAUCUCGUUCGUAUCUUUUCUAACGAAAAAAUCGAAAAGGUUCAUGGCAACAAGUAUUUCCACCAAUAUCCUCGAAUAUCUUUCUUUCCCCAUUCUUCACCAAAAUUUCUUUUCCAAAAACUAUACUAAAAAUUGUACGAUCACAUCCAGAUUAAAAUUUCGUUCUUUUCUAACGAAAAAAUCGAAAAGGUUCAUGGCAACAAGUAUUUCCACCAAUAUCCUCGAAUAUCUUUCCCCAAAAUUCUUCACCAAAAUUUCUUUUCCAAAAACUAUACUAAAAAUUGUACAAUCACACCCGGAUUAAAAUCUCGUUCUUUUCUAAGGAAAAAAUCAAUCGCAAGUUUCAAUGCAAUCCACGCUAUCAGAAUUUCAACCAAAAUUUCGUACAAUCCGCAAAUAAUAAAAUCUCUCGUGUACACAUUGGAGAAGCAAGCGUUCGAUUUCGACACUCGUCGAUCGAGGAGAGGAAAUUUGGAUCAAGGGGAGGGGGAGGGAAAAAAAGGACACGCGAGAUCGACAGGCGUCGUCGUUUUGGCGCCCACGUGAACCACGAGAUGGCAAAGUUUGGGACCAGUGAUCGGCAGGAACAAUGAACGGUCCCCUCCUCCCCUUUUCCCAGCCGUUUCUAUCCAGUUCGAACCGGAAAACCGGCGACUGGCGGUCUCACGCGACGCGAUAUACCCGUCCACCCGGUUAUUGGAUACUAUCGACAACCUCUCUCUCUCUCUUUCCCUCUCUUUUGCCGCUGUUUCGAGGCCGUGCCUCAACUUCCCGAUGAAUGACGACGCGUCUUCUGGGACAAGUUGAUCGACCUUUGCGCCGAGGAGGACCGUGGAAUUAAAAAGUUUGUGAAAUAUCGUGUAAUUUUUCUUUCUUUUUUUUUUUUUUUUCCUUUGCAAGAAGAAGAGAUGAAUGACGCGUGUUUUGGAACAAGUUGAUCGACAAAAUAAUUGUAAAAUAAUUAAUUUUUCUCUCUUUUUUUUUUUGCAAUUGCACUUUUGAUAACGUCGUAAAAUUUCUUGAUCUAAGAAUGGACGAAUGAAUGACGCGUCUUCUGGAACAAGUUGAUCGACCUUUGCGCCGAGGAGGACCGUGGAAUUAAAAAGUUUGUGAAAUAUCGUGUAAUUUUUCUUUCUUUUUUUUUUUUUUUUCCUUUGCAAGAAGAAGAGAUGAAUGACGCGUGUUUUGGAACAAGUUGAUCGACAAAAUAAUUGUAAAAUAAUUAAUUUUUCUCUCUUUUUUUUUUUGCAAUUGCACUUUUGAUAACG